rnacentral:pre_miRNA from 1 species
UAACCCGUCAAAGCGGAUGUGAAAUGUCCUACGUCCUUCAUAUCACAGCCACUUUGAUGUGGUCGG